GACGAACGCUGGCGGCGUGCUUAACACAUGCAAGUCGAACGGGCCUUGUCCCCUUUUUUUUGGGGGUGGGGUUAGUGGCGAACGGGUGAGUAACACGUGAGUAACCUGCCCCUCACUUCUGGAUAACCGCUGGAAAGGGUGGCUAAUACGGGGUGUUCUGGCCUGCUCGCAUGGGUGGGUUUGGAAAGAUUCGACCGGUUUUGGUUGUUUUUGUGGGGGAUGGGCUCGCGGCCUAUCAGCUCGUUGGUGGGGUGAUGGCCUGCCAAGGCUUUGACGGUUAGCCUGCCUGAGAGGGUGGGCGGUCACACUGGGACUGAGACGCCGCACACACUCACACGGGAGGCAGCAGUGGGGAAUAUGGCACAAUGGGCGCAAGCCUGAUGCAGCGACGCCGCGUGAGGGAUGGAGGCCUUCGGGUUGAGAACCUCUUUCGCCAGUGAAGAAGGUCCUGCUCUUUGUGGUGGGGUUGACGGUAGCUGGGUUAAUGAAGCGCCGGCUAACUACGUG
rnacentral:rRNA from 1 species